CCGUCAAUGGCACUGGAAGAAUUCACGGGGUCUUGAUAGAAAUACCGUGACUUCUCCGGUGCUGUGGACGG
rnacentral:precursor_RNA from 1 species